rnacentral:lncRNA from 1 species
CUGGGAUCCAUCCUCAGCACCACAUAGAAAGAAAGAAAGAAAAGAAAGAAAAGAAAAGAAAAGAAAGAUACUGUGUCCAUCUACAACUAAAAAAAAAGCCACUAAAACACCCAAGGUCAACCUAGGCGAGAAGAUCAUCCUGGGCAAACCGUUUCAGAGGUUCCGUCCAUGGUGGCCCCACUCCAUUACUCUGGGUCCAAGAUGAGGCAGAACCCAGCCUGGCAGUCCCCGCACUGUAGCACACUGAGUGGGAAACUACGGCCAGAAGGUCCAGUCCUCGGCAUCAGCCCAAGAGAACUGGAAGCAAAUAUCCACACCACGCUCACACGCACGCUCACACGCACUCUCACACGCACGCUCACGGCAGCAGCAGUCAUCACAGGCCCAAAGCUGAAACAGCCCGAUGUCCACCAGCUGAUGAGUGGGUCAGGGAAAUGGUCACAGCAUCCAUAGGAAUAGCUCUUGGCCAUAAACAGGGAUGAAGUCCCGAACCGAGCUAUGCUGGGACAAGUCUCGAACACACGCUCAGUAGAAGCAGCCAGAUGCAGCAAGCCAUUUAUUGUAUGAUCCCACUCCCGAGAAACAUUCAGAACAGGAAAAUCCACGGAAGGAAAGAACAGAUUAGUGGUUGCCGAGGGCUGGCACCCAGGGCCGUGGGGAGUAACUGCUAACUGGU